rnacentral:misc_RNA from 1 species
GUGAAUCAUCAAAUUUUUGAACGCAAAUUGCACUCUCUGGUAUUCCGGUGAGUAUUCUUGCUUGAGUGUUAGUUUAUUACAAUCGUAAAAAUAAAUUUUUACGUCUCUGGGUUUUCCAAACUUUAUAUUUUUGAUAAUCUAAAAUUUAUCAUAACAAUAGUUUAUAUUCGAUAUGUUUAUUUUUGAUUCAUUUACUAUUAUUACCUAAUUUGUUACUUCGUAUUCUUUUCCUAAUUUCUUAAUUAUGUAAAAUUAAUACUAUUUUU